UACGGGGGGAGCAAGCGUUGUUCGGAUUUACUGGGCGUAAAGGGCGCGUAGGCGGCCACCGCAAGUCGACUGUAAAAUCUCCGGGCUUAACCCGGAAAGGUCAGCCGAUACUGCGGGGCUAGAGUGCAGAAGGGGCAACUGGAAUUCUCGGUGUAGCGGUGAAAUGCGUAGAUAUUGGGAGGAACACCAGUGGCGAAGGCGGCUCACUGGACCGGUACUGACGCUGAUGCGCGAAAGCGUGGGGAGCAAACAGG
rnacentral:rRNA from 1 species